UUCGUCGAUGUCAAAAUUCUAAAAUAUAAAUGCAUUCGUUAAGGAAAUUCUGUGGGUUGUCUGGCAAAUCGGGACAAUGUCUCCAUCGGUCUGCUAACUCUACUUUGUGGAUGAAUUCGUGUUGGGAGCUGCGUAACAGAGCUCACAAAAUGGACCUCAUUGAAAAAUACAAGCGAUGUUCACGAAUUGAUCGACUGUUCUACAGACCCCAACCACUUAGUCAGCGCAUCUAUAGUCGAACCUGGCUAAAAAAAAUAGACUCUGCCACAGAAUCGAUGAUCGCACAGCAUAAAGAUCGAAUUCAAUAUAGACCGAUUUAUAAAAGUAUUCCAAAAUAUGAACCUGUCUUUCUUGAUGACGAGCCCAAUGAUACAUGUGUACAACUUGACGUUCGCAAGCGAGAAAGUAGGUCUGUCAAGAACCUCUUAGCCAAGGGAAAAAGAUAUUUGGAUCAUCAUAGACUGAUAUGCAAAGACACACACAAAAAUAAAUAUCACUGUCAGUUUAUACACUCUGACAUGGGAAAAACUAGUUCAAAAUAUACCAUUGGAAGCAAACCUAUUAAAAGGACGAGGGCACCUUUAAGCACAUAUAUGGACGGAACUACUAAUCCCUUGAUAAUAAAUAGGUUCAAGCGUUAUUGUCAUAAGCGCAAAUUCAGCGAUAUAAGUCCUAGCGCAUUUUCAUUAGAACGUAGUACAUUUUAAAUAAAAAUAUGCAGUGUUUAACCAAAAG